UUAGAUAAAUUUAGAGACGGUUUCUUUUGAAACCGUUUGCUAACACUUUUUUUAAAAAAAAAACAAAACCAUUGAUGGAAUUUUCAAAACAAAACCCAUGGCUUUUCAAAACCAUCAUGUUCCUCUCUUAGAGCUCUCUCUCUCUCUCUCUCUCUCUCGUUCUUCUUCUUCCUCUUUCUGGUCGGCGAUUGAAGACGGGCGACGGGAUCUGGAUGGUCGGCGAGAUCAGGACGACUGCUUGGCUGACCUUGAAGCUGCCCUGGCUUGACGACGACUUGGACGACGGGAACGAGGCAAUGGCUUCUCUCUCUCUCUCUCUCUCUCUCUCUCUCUCUCUUGUUUGACAGAUUUGGCCGAAACCCACGCUCGGCCGGAUCUCUGGCUGGAAUACAGAGAGAUCCAGGCGCCGGAACUUUUUUUUUUUUUUUGGGCUGGAUACUUGAUGGUUUUGAGAAAAAGAACAAGAAGGAUUUUUGUGAGGAAUUUUUGUGCAGAAGGCUCGGUGUGGGUUUGUGAAUGAUUUUUAUGUCCUCAGUGUUUCGAUAGAGAAGAAGGAUGCCAGAGGAAGAAGAGGUGGCGGGGGGCCGAAGAAAAAGUCUGCAAUUGCGGACGGUUUGGCCCAAACCGUCUGUAACCCGAAUUAGCGAAUCAUUGUUCUGGAUAGUCUGAAACCGUCCAGAAAAAAAUCGUCUGUACCGUUUUCCAGACGGUUCUUUUUCAAUUUCUGGACAGUUUGAAACCGUCCAGAAUUGCUUAUUUUUUUGUAGUGAUAUAUAAAAGUGUUAGAACAGAUUUCGGUUUGGUAACUUGUUAAUCUGCGAGAGCCUGCCUCCUAACCUGUAAAAGAGAAAACUGCAUCGGGGAAACUCGACAAUCCCACUCCGAUGCUUAAGUCAAUAUUAUCUCAAGCGUAUAUCUCUUUUGUAUCACAGAGAGCAAUCAAAUUGUACCUGCGUAGUUGUGUGGUAUUUA